rnacentral:tRNA from 1 species
GGGCCCAUAGCUCAGCUGGUAGAGCAAUCGGCUCUUAACCGAUAGGUCCAGGGUUCGAAUCCCUGUGGGCCCA